UGCGAUAUAGAUAUAUAUUAAAUAUGUAUAUGUGUGGCAUGUCAUAUUAGGAGACCAAAUCAUAGAAACCCCUCGCUAGAUAAUAUUAAGUCGGUAAAUGUGAGGCAAUUAGAUUGACUCACGUGGGCUUCCAUCGGUAUAGGUAGGGAUCGAUUCCCGGUAUAGGUUGAGUUAGUCGAGUCCCUCGAGGCUCACCUAUAUCGCAAUU
rnacentral:lncRNA from 1 species